UACGGGGGGGGCAAGCGUUGUUCGGAAUUACUGGGCGUAAAGAGCGCGUAGGCGGCCUUCUAAGUCGGACGUGAAAUCCCUCGGCUUAACCGAGGAACUGCGUCCGAUACUGAAAGGCUUGAAUCCGGGAGAGGGAUGUGGAAUUCCAGGUGUAGCGGUGAAAUGCGUAGAUAUCUGGAGGAACACCGGUGGCGAAGGCGGCAUCCUGGACCGGUAUUGACGCUGAGGCGCGAAAGCCAGGGGAGCAAACGGG
rnacentral:rRNA from 1 species